UACGUAGGGGGCAAGCGUUAUCCGGAUUUACUGGGUGUAAAGGGAGCGUAGACGGCAGCGCAAGUCUGGAGUGAAGUGCCGGGGCUCAACCCCGGAAUUGCUUUGGAAACUGUGCAGCUAGAGUGCGGGAGAGGUAAGCGGAAUUCCUAGUGUAGCGGUGAAAUGCGUAGAUAUUAGGAGGAACACCAGUGGCGAAGGCGGCUUACUGGACCGUAACUGACGUUGAGGCUCGAAAGCGUGGGGAGCAAACAGG
rnacentral:rRNA from 1 species